rnacentral:rRNA from 1 species
CAUACCUAAAACGUUGCUUCGGCGGGAACAGACGGCCCUGUAACCACGGGCCGCCCCCGCCAGAGGACCCCUAACUCUGUUUUUAUAAUGUUUUUCUGAGUAAACAAGCAAAUAAAUUAAAACUUUCAACAACGGAAUCUCGUGGCUCUGGCAUCGAUGAAAAAACGCAGCGAAAUGCGAUAAGUAAUGUGAAUUGCAGAAUUCAGUGAAUCAUCGAAUCUUUGACGCACAUUUGGGCCCGCCAUUAUUCUGGCGGGCAUGCCUGUUCGAGCGUCAUUACAACCCUCAGGCCCCCGGGCCUGGCGUUGGGGAUCGGCGGAAGCCCCCUGUGGGCACACGCCGUCCCUCAAAUACAGUGGCGGUCCCGCCGCAGCUUCCAUUGCGUAGUAGCUAACACCUCGCAACUGGAGAGCGGCGCGGCCAUGCCGUAAAACACCCAACUUCUGAAUGUUGACCUCGAAUCAGGUAGGAAUACCCGCUGAACUUAAGCAUAUCAA